rnacentral:rRNA from 1 species
GACGAACGCUGGCGGCGUGCCUAACACAUGCAAGUCAAGGACUGUAGCAAUACAGGACUGGCGCACGGGUGCGGAACACGUAGGUAAUCUGCCCUUUAGGGGAGAACAACCAGCCGAAAGGUUGGCUAAAUCUCCGUAACAUCACGAUGUGGCAUCACAUUGUAAUCAAGUUUUCUAAAGGAUGAGCCUGCGUCUGAUUAGCUAGUUGGUAGUGUAAUGGACUACCAAGGCUUCGAUCAGUAGCUGGUCUGAGAGGAUGAUCAGCCACAUUGGGACUGAGACACGGCCCAGACUCCUACGGGAGCAGCAGUGAGGAAUAUUGCACAAUGGACGAAAGUCUGAUGCAGCAACGCCGCGUGA